rnacentral:lncRNA from 1 species
AUGAAUACAAUUACUGAAUUUGAUCUUCAAUUUAAGAUGUUUACACUAGGGGGAUACCACAUAAUCUUAUGUUAUAUUUAACGAAAGUAUAAGUAAACUAUUCAUUGUUGGUGAAUAUAUAGUUUUGAUGCCAUACGCAUUCUACGAAACUAGUUUCAGUAAUCCAGCCGUCAAACUUGUUUGUUUAUACUUCGAGAUCUUAG